UGUGUUUGCCAGCCCCUUCCCCCAGUGUAUGCUAAACACAUUCUCUUGUAUAUUUGCAGACAGCCAGGCUCUCAAAGAUUGGUGGAUAUGACUUAAAGAGCUGUUUAAGCACCAUCAUGGACAGGCUCAUGACAAAUGAAUUAAUGUCCAAUCUGAACAUGAAGGGGAGAGGGGGAAAAAAUAGCUUUGCCGAGACGAAGCUGCUCGAUUUAGUCACAGCUAGUGUCUUGGAUACCCAGAAGGGGACCGAAACGAUGGUCCAUGAUGCCAUAAAAAAUAAACUGAAAUAUGCCCCUGGACGGAAGGGAGGAAUAGGAUGGGCAUCAAAGGCUAAAUAAAUAAUUAUAUCGAU